rnacentral:rRNA from 1 species
GAGUUUGAUCCUGGCUCAGGAUGAACGCUAGCGGGAGGCUUAACACAUGCAAGUCGAGCGGCAGCACGGUCUUCGGACUGGUGGCGAGCGGCGCACGGGUGCGUAACGCGUAUGCAACCUGCCUUAUACAGGGGAAUAGCCCAUGGAAACGUGGAUUAAUACCCCAUAACAUUGUGAGUUCGCAUGGAUUUACAAUUAAAACUACGGUGGUAUAAGAUGGGCAUGCGUCUGAUUAGCUUGUUGGUGAGGUAACGGCUCACCAAGGCCACGAUCAGUAGGGGUUCUGAGAGGAUUAUCCCCCACACUGGUACUGAGACACGGACCAGACUCCUACGGGAGGCAGCAGUGAGGAAUAUUGGUCAAUGGGCGCGAGCCUGAACCAGCCAUCCCGCGUGCAGGAUGACGGCCCUAUGGGUUGUAAACUGCUUUUCUACGCCAAGAAACGUUCCGACGUGUCGGAAACUGACGGUAGCGUAGGAAUAAGCAUCGGCUAACUCCGUGCCAGCAGCCGCGGUAAUACGGAGGAUGCAAGCGUUAUCCGGAUUCAUUGGGUUUAAAGGGUGCGCAGGCGGGCUUGUAAGUCAGUGGUGAAAUAUUGUCGCUUAACGAUAAGGUUGCCAUUGAUACUGCAGGUCUUGAGUAUGGUUGAGGUAGGCGGAAUGUGCAGUGUAGCGGUGAAAUGCAUAGAGAUUGCACAGAACACCGAUUGCGAAGGCAGCUUACUAAGCCGUAACUGACGCUGAGGCACGAAAGCGUGGGGAGCGAACAGGAUUAGAUACCCUGGUAGUCCACGCCGUAAACGAUGUUCACUCGCUGUUUGCGAUAUACAGCAAGCGGCUUAGCGAAAGCAUUAAGUGAACCACCUGGGGAGUA